CUGGGAGCGUCGGGAGGCUUCGGCCUCCUGGUCCGCCUGCUGGGGCCUCCUCCGCGGGGCCCUAUGGCCCGCCGGCUUUUAGCUAUGCGCCGGUCCCACAGCUGCAGUGCUCCCUCAGUCCCUGGAGUUCCCAGCCAAGCCACAGACCUGCCUCUGAGGAAGGGAAUCGAGCAGGGAGUAGGAGGGGACCUCUGGGGACUCGGGCCUGGUAAGUGGGGCUCUGGCAGGCAGAACGGGGCUGGGGUGUCAGCACCACCCCGCCCAUUCCUCUCUGCUUUGGUCACAGCAUCCCUGGUCUCCACCUUGCUCACUGGCUUCUCGUUUGGGCUGGAAUGGGCCUCUGACUCCUGUCUGCCCCAGCCUCCUUCCCGUACUCCCGGGUUCUCCCUUUUCCUUGUUCCCUAAAGCCAGUGCUAAUUAAGACACACCCUCUUUGCAUGUUCCUUCCACCAUUAUCCCACACCCUCAAUAGGAAGAAAAAAAAAAAAAAGACACACCCUCUUUGUUGGUGGGCCUCCUCGGGGAGAUGCUGAACAGGGACCACUCUCUAAUUCCAGGUCCCAGGUGCACCGCAGCUCUUGGGCCUGCGAAGAGAGGCACUGGAGCUGCACCUUUUCCCUCGUGGCACACCUCAGGGGCUUACUUUCCCAGUCUGAAGAGUGGGGUGUAUCCCUGAGCUGAAAAGCACUUGUGAGAUCCUGGGAGAGAUCAACUUCCCAGACAUCACGUAUGGUUUCUGUCCUACAUCUCUUGGCUCUGCAUAGCCUGGGAAUAACUUGAGUGUACACAUGGAUAAAAUGAAACUGGGGGCUGUCUUUGAUAUGGGACAGGGGUCACUGUGAGGCAGAGAAGCCAGUAAGCAUUGAACAACAGAAGGGGGUUCCGGAGACCUGGCCUGGUCCUGUUGCUGUGUGGCUUAGUCCCUUACUCUAUCUGAUCCAGGUGCCACGGCUUACCAAUGGAAGAUUAGGCCAGAUGGCUCCUGAGAGUGCUUUGGGAGAUUCUCUGUUCCUUCUGGGAAUGGCAGGGAUAGGAGGGGGUCCCAGAAGUUUGAACGCUUUGGCAUCCAAGAAAUCACACUCCAAAUACUGCUCUUCUGGCCUCCCCUGGGCUGCCUUCUCCAACCGUGUUCCUGGGAACCGAAGGGCAGAAAUUGCCCUCUUGGGCUUAUAAACAAGGUAUGAAGGACCUGUCCUUAAUUUGGCUCCUGUAUAUUCUUUAUUUUGGAAAUGCCUGGAGCCCACCUAGAGAGGAGGCAACUAGAGUGGACAUUCUUUGGGAACUAUAGACCUCCCAACCCCAUCCUUGCCAGGCAGCAUUUGUUCACCCAUUGCACUGUUCUUCAGGACUGAGGCUUGGACUCCAGCAUGUCUCUACCCUUUAAAUGCCCAGAAUCCAGCCCAGAGGUAGGGGGCUUCCAAUACCUCCUGGCCAGCAACUUGUCAACGCUGACACCUCAGCUCCCCAGCAUGGGGUUUCCAUCUCAGACUCCAGACAAGAUUCCUCCAAAGAGCCACUGGUGUGACUGACACCAAGCAAGAUGCUGAGGCAGGGCUUACUGAGGGCCGGGACCUGGAGGGUUAAGCCUUCCCUCCCUCCUGCUUGCCCCCUGCAGUGUUGGCCUCAGCUGCUUGGAAUCCCUGGGGUCCUGUAGGGCCCUCCCGCCAGCCAGAUGGGCAGCUGCUGCAGCAGAGGAGGGGGAGAAAUGGAAACAGGCCUCAGGGUACCCCUAGGCAGGGAGGGAAGGGAAGAGGAGUGGAGGGAGGACAGAGGAUGGCUGUGAGGAAGGGAACUCAGUUGCCCUAACGUGAAGGCAGGACCCCUCGCCUUGACUCGGACAGCAGGGCAGGGGCUGCCUCAAGGCUUUGGAUGUGGGGGGAUCAGGGCACAUGCCAUUCCACUCAGCGGGCCUCAGAGCCAGCUCUUGGCGUGAAACCUUACCCGAUGCUGGCUCCUGCUCCUCUCUCUUUUUUUCUUAAUAAGGUCGAAUCAGAGUGAGUCAGAGGAGCCAAGUUUCCUGUUAGGCUCUAUUUGAAUAAACUCUGCUCUGAACAUAGCCUGGGCCUCUGCACAGACUCCCCUGGCCAGGACUGCGCUCCUGCCAGCCAUCCCUGCUGAGAUGGAGACCUGGGGGUCCACACCAUGACUUGAGCUAGGGACCUGGCCUGGCCCAGCCACUCCCCGGGGAAGCUUUUUAAGCUCUCAGAGCUUCAGAGUCCCGUCUGUGACCUGGGGGUAAUCAUACCUUUCUUGUGGCAUAUUUGAGAGGAUGGAAUGAGAGGAUUAUGAAAAGUCCCCAGCACAGAGCCAGACAUGUGGCCACUAUUUUCCUUCUUUCCUCUUGACUUGUGAGAGAAGGGAGGGAUUUAUCUCUUGGGGUUGACCCCCACUCCCACUUCCUCUGUCUUUCCUGUUUUUAUCUGUCUUCAGCAUCUUUCCUUGCUCAGGGUGAACCUUGUGCAGGGGGGCCAGAGGUGGCCCCUCCACCAGAGCUGUCCUCUCCCUUCCUCUCUACUCCCUCCUUCUGACCUCAUUCUACUUGGGUUUAGGUCUCCUGCAGUGGCUGACAGGCCCAGCAGUUCUGUGAGCCCAGGGGAGCCUGCCUUCCAUCACCUCUCCUCAUGCUGGGCAAGGCCUUGCCUUGGUGGCUGGAGGUGUCCUGGCAUCCUUAGGUUGAAACCUGCAGGGUGGGGUCCUAAAAGAGACCUGGGCAGGUUAUGGAGGGUGCAGAGCUGGGGUCAAAUGAGGGCGUGGACUCGAAGGCUGAGCUGAGCCAGAGCUGUCUGGGGUGAAGGGCAGCUUCUCUCUCCGCCUGUCCCUGCAGGCUGGGAUUCACACCCACAUUUUUAAGACCCAGGCAUGUGCUUGAAGCUUGUUGCCAGUUCCUGGCACUAGGAACCGGUGUCAAGGGACCCUCGGAGGGGUGGUGAUAGAAGGAUGAAAGAGCCUGUUGAUUGCGCAUGACUUUAUUAAGCCCCUGCCACGUGCUCAGCUCUGUGUUGCCGGGGCUCCCACGGAGCAGCCAGGGUCCUGUGACCCUGUCAUGGAAGGCUGAGUUCUGGAAAGUCCAUGGGGGAACCAGGAAGCAGCAGGCCUGACCAGCAGCGGGUCUGGGGAGCAGAGAGGGGUCAGGAGCUGUGGGAUUCCUCCCUUGCUUUGCAGAGGGACGUACUAGGAGGCCCAUGGUGGGUCGGAAUUUUCUGUGAUAGUGGGGAUGCCAAGAGGGAAGGCCCCAGAGCACCCAAACCCUCCAUCUUCCAGGCUGCGCUGUAGAUGGGUUUGGGGCAGCACUGGGAAUCCAAGACCCAACCCAGGCAGCUGCUGCCUCUGGAAAGCGGGCUGGAGGAAGUGCUGAGUGAGGAGGCUGGGCGAGCUGGCACAGAAAGUGCUGACUCUGCAGGGAGAGGACCACCGAGUGACCACUGCCAGCUGGGCCCCGUGCCUACCCCUCCCCUGCAGCCACAUCUGGCGCAACGGUGGGGUGGGGGACCCAGUCCCCAGGGCCGAGGUAGCCGAGGAGGGGGCCUGAGGAGGGGGCCAGAGCCAUGGGUUUGGAAGUGUUUCUUCAGGGC
rnacentral:lncRNA from 1 species